GCAUCGAUAAUAAUCGGGCAUCAAGUGCGGUACCGAAGCCUAGGAUAGAAAUAUGGUAGGGGAGCAUUCUCUGUGGGGUGAAGGUGUGUUGUGAGACAUGCUGGACUGCAGAGAAGCGCAAAUGUAGGCAUAAGUAACGAUAAUGCGGGCGAGAAACCCGCACACCGAUAGACUAAGGUUUCCCCGGCAAUGCUAAUCAGC
rnacentral:rRNA from 1 species